UAAGUGGUGGAAGAAAACAUAAACAUGAUUCUUUAAGUAAUGGCGAAUGAACAAAGACAUAGUCAUUUUGAAAAUUGUGGUCCGUGAUCAUGAAUUGUAAUAUUCAAAAUGCAUUGCUAACAAAAUUGCAUAUGUUAGUUUAUUGGAAAGAACAUUACAAAGGGUGAAAAUCCCAUGUGUCAUGUGUAUGUUUUGUGUACAGUGUGCAUUUCAUGAUUCACAUUCAUUGACAAUUGAAUGUAAAGCGAAUGGUAAACUUCAUUUAAACAUAAAUAUGUUGUUGAAAACUUAUAUCGAACAAAUACCAUGAGGGAAAUGUGAAAAGGAUUUUGAAAAGAAAAUUAAAAGAGCUUACAAUUGCUGGAUUGAUAAGCAAACAAAACACACAUGUGUAUGUGCAAGAUUGUUGUCAUGUUGUGCAAUUCAUGCAAAUUAACAUUGCUUUGGUUUUUGUGUAAUUUUGUCAGCUUUGGAAUUGAGAAUGAUUUUUUUGAGUGUGAAUGGAUUGUUGUUUGUUAACAAAGGAAUGCACUUUCAAAAUCAUUGUUUGAUUUGUCUAAUCAAGUUUGUGGCGUGUGUUGUGUGUCAAAUUUAAUUAUAUAAUUCACAAAACACAUGAUGUUUGAGCUAUUAAGGCAAUCUUGUUUUGUUGUACC
rnacentral:rRNA from 1 species